rnacentral:rRNA from 1 species
UACAGAGGUCUCAAGCGUUGUUCGGAUUCAUUGGGCGUAAAGGGUGCGUAGGUGGCGCCGUAAGUCGGGUGUGAAAUUUCGGAGCUUAACUCCGAAACUGCAUUCGAUACUGCGGUGCUUGAGGACUGGAGAGGAGACUGGAAUUCAUGGUGUAGCAGUGAAAUACGUAGAGAUCAUGAGGAAGACCAGUGGCGAAGGCGGGUCUCUGGACAGUUCCUGACACUGAGGCACGAAGGCCAGGGGAGCAAACGGG